rnacentral:RNase_P_RNA from 1 species
UGAGUAGACUGUGUGGCAGCGCUCAAGUUAUGAGUGAGGAAAGUCCGAGCACCAUAGGACAGGAUACCUGUUAACGGCAGGCGGAGGCGACUCUAGGGAAAGUGCAACAGAAAUAAACCGCUUAGUUUCUAAGCAAGGAUGGAAAGGCGAGGUAAGAGCUCACCGGAAUGUGGGAAACCACAUUGCCAUGCAAACCCUAUCCGGUGCAACAUCGACUGAGAUAUCGCUUGUCCGGCGCACUCGAAAGAUGGCUAGAACGUUAUAGUGAUAUGGCGUCAAGAUAGAUUGUCACGUAAACAGAACUCGGCUUAUAGGUCUAGUCACUAU